rnacentral:rRNA from 1 species
CAGUCGCCGCGGGAAUACGUAGGUUGCAAGCGUUAACCGGAAUUACUGGGCGUAAAGCGUGCGCAGGCGGUUAUAUAAGUCAGAUGUGAAAUCCCCGGGCUCAACCUGGGACCUGCAUUUGUGACUGUAUAGCUAGAGUACGGUAGAGGGGGAUGGAAUUCCGCGUGUAGCAGUGAAAUGCGUAGAUAUGCGGAGGAACACCGAUGGCGAAGGCGGCCCCCUGGACAAAGACUGACGCUCAGGUGCGAAAGCGUGGGGAGCAAACAGGAUUAGAUACCCCAGUAGUCCCUGUCUCUUAUAC